CAGCAUAUCUUAUAUAUCCCAACUUUACAGAGGGUGAUAAAUACACAUCAAACAUCAAUAAUACAGAUCAACUUGGAACCUUUUCCCCAUUCUCCUUAUGGGUCAAGUCACGUGCAUUAACUACUCCUGGAUUUUCUUACCUAAGAUAUUGAUUAUAAAUGUCCAUCGGGACGGCAGCGAUAACACCUUUUUACCGGUGCUCUGCUCUGAAAAUCUAAGCCUACCACUUCAUGCGUCGAUAAUUUCGACGCAAUAAUUUCUAUUAUUGGACUUCACUGUCGUCACUUCACUCAUCUUUCUCGCUAACUGUACUCGACGUGCUUUCAACUUCAAACUACACUUCUGCUUCCCUCCUUCCUCCCACUACCCCGCAUUUGCACGUUCCAACCAGCGCUUCAAGGUUUGACUAUAAGAUUGUAAAGUGUUUUGUCGCCACCAGCUGUACCUAUAAGAGAAAAAGGACAACCAUUCGAAAUAAUGAAUAGGUUCCGGUUGCAGGUUCCGGUGGUAGAUGGCGCCAAAGCGCUGCGCUGGAGUUGAGACGGACAGCCGCGCGCGCGUGGCCGCCUUAACGACGCAGAUGGUAACUGACGUAACGCUUAGUUCGCUAGUGCGUCAAGUCAGUCAGUCAGCUAUAGCCAAGAUUUAAAAUACAUAUAUAUAUUUUUAAUGAUUUGUAGCCUAAACGUUUGUGUUGAAAGUGAGCUGUAGUUUCGUUUUUUGCCUGCCAAAAACGUUUUAAUUCUUUGUUUUACUGCUGCACCUUGCUUAAUAAAGGUGUAUGUAAUGCUAGCUAGCUAACAGCUUGCUAACUGUUAACCGUUUGACCGUCCCUGUUUGUGAGACCUGUUGAAAUGGAUGACCAUGAUUCCCUGGGCAGUAUGGACAGUUUACUUCUCCAGCUAGCUCUGCAAACCAGGGACAUCGCUCAGAAGAGGGAUCAGAUCAAUCAACAGAUUCAAAUCGGCAAAGCCAAUGUUGCUGAGAAGAAAUCCUACAUCAUAGGGAUCCAGAAAAACAUCAGGAAGCUUGAGGAGGAAUCUCAUCAUAAGCAGAACAUUGUGAAGCAUCUCAAAGGCAAUACGAAAAGUCUAAAGGGAACUAACGGCCUCCUGCUGCAGUAUGAGAAGACGCUGCAGGCUGAAUUGGAGAGGAGACGAGACAACUGUAAUCAAGACAUGAAAGUGUACCAGGAGAGAAUAGAGCGCUACAGGAAGGUUUUCCAGCAGCACAAAGAGAGUUACUACCAGAACCCUCUGGCCAAGCAGCUGCUGAUGAUUCAGUCAGGAAAAGAAGAGCUGGAAAGCAGGAUUAAAGUUUGUGAGGACCAGAUAACAGCCAAAGAGAAGGCUCUGCAGGAUCUACUAGGUCAAACAUUGUCCAUCGAAAAUCCAUUGGAAAGCAUCUCUGGUCUAUUGACGGCAGCAGAGUCUCACAGACAGUCAUCGGCUCAGACUGAGGAUGACCAUCAGUCUCCACUAGACAUCUCCUCCCUCCAUGUUUCCCAGGAUGGCCAUGAGAAACACGGAGAGGGAAUUGAAGAGCAUCUAGAGAAGACCGUUGCUCACCCUCCAUCACAAGGAGACACACACUGUGACCUGUGGUCAUACCCAGAGGCAAUGGGUAGGAUCUUCAAUGAUGGAAUACACGCUUCAGACCAGGAGGAGGGAAGUUUACUAGAGGAACAGAAGGAGUGUCUGAACACCUCCAGUACAGUGGGGAUGGAGGAGGUGAAGGAGAGGGGGACUGAGGGAGGAGACGAACAGCCUACACCCCUCAUUACUGAGGCGGAGGAGGAUGAAGGGAUGGGAGCAGCAUUCUCUCCUCAGACUCCUAAUAGAAUGAAAGCUGUGUCCAGCACCCCAACCUUCUCCCUGAACAGGAGCCACAGUGGGUCACCUAGUCAGCUAGACGGAUCCACAGUAAAAUCCCCAGGCUUCCUGUUCUCCAUGAGCUCAGCUCCUAGCCCCACCACCCCUGACUUCUCUGGCUUCCACUGUGGCUUUGAACUGGGCUCAGGCCAGGAGGAAGAGCCUCCUUUCCCCUUCAGCAGCUCAUAUUUCAGCAGUGAAAAGAAACCGUCAGGAUCCAGAUCGCCAUCAGGCUUCCUGUUUGCCCGGCCAGAGUCGGAGAAGUCAGAAGAUGGAUUUGAGUUCCCCUUCAGCUCUAAGAGUCCUGGUCAACCGUCAACCAGCAGAGAGAAGGGAUCAGGGGCUGGGGACUCCUUCCCUUUCUCCUUUAACUUCUAGCACAUCUUACUGUAAAACUUCAUGUAUGCUUCAAAUGGCACCCUAUUCCUUAUAUAGUGCACUACUUUUGCCCAGGGCCAUGUAGUGUUCUAGGGCAAUAGGGCGCCAUUUGGAUGCAUCCUGAGAUUCUUCCUCGUUACUGUACAUGAGUUCCAUUUCAUGUUUGGUUAUUUCUAGAAAUAUGCAGAGGACUUCAACACAACUCUUUGUUGUUGUUAUGCACUGUAGAUCUGUUUUAGCGGUUGUUAAUAUUUACUCUAGUAAUUAGUUGAAUCAACUGUUGUAUGAAAAUUACUACCUUAUAAGAUAAAGUACCAUCUAGACUUAAACUUCGCUGUUUGUUCAUAAGUCAUUUAUAAUUAUUUAAAACUUAAUUGUAUUAAUAUUUAACUAAAUAAAAUCAGAUAAAAACAUACAUUUGUGUCAAGUUGGCUGGAUGUCCUUUGGGUGGUGGACCAUUCUUGAUACACACAGGAAACUGUUGAGCGUGAAAAACACAGCAGCUUUGCAGUUCUUGACACAAACCGGUGCACCUGGCACUUACUACCAUACCCUGUUAAAAAGGCACUUAAAUCUUUUGUCUUGCCCAUUCACUCUCUGAAUGUCACACAUACACAAUCCAUGUCUUAAUUGUCUCAAGGCUUAAAAAUCCUUCUUUAACCUGUCUCCUCCCCUUCAUCUACACUUAUUGAAGUGGAUUUAACAAGUGACAUCAACAAGGGAGCAUAGCUUUCACCUGAAUUCAGGUGGGACCUAACGAUGGAAUAUUAUCACAAUAC
rnacentral:lncRNA from 1 species